rnacentral:misc_RNA from 1 species
GAUGAAGAACGCAGCGAAAUGCGAUAAGUAAUGUGAAUUGCAGAAUUCAGUGAAUCAUCGAAUCUUUGAACGCACAUUGCGCCCGCCAGUAUUCUGGCGGGCAUGCCUGUUCGAGCGUCAUUUCAACCAUCAAGCCCCCGGCUUGUGUUGGGGACCUGCGGCUGCCGCAGGCCCUGAAAAGCAGUGGCGGGCUCGCUGUCACACCGAGCGUAGUAGCAUACAUCUCGCUCAGGGCGUGCUGCGGGUUCCGGCCGUUAAACCACCUUCAUAACCCAAGGUUGACCUCGGAUCAGGUAGGAAGACCCGCUGAACUUAAGCAUAUCAAUAAGCGGAGGA